CUUCAUCUCUCUCUCUCUCCACCAUUUAUUCCUUCUCUCUAAAAAUAUUUUCACAAGCAACAUCUCUUUUCGUUAGAUCCACAAACAACAGAUUUCUACUGUUUGUUUCAGUUGCACACGCAUCAGAAUGAAGAAACCAGGAUUCUUUGCAGCGUCCAUGGCUGCCGCUUCGGCUACUACUGCCAUGUCUGUCUCCAAUUCUAAAAAUCACGAGGAUCACGUAGGAUCGGCGAAAAACGGUGAUGAUUCGUCUCCUGAGAAAGCGAAUCGUCGCUUGGAGAAAUUCGCGCCGAGGUUUGAUGGAUUGAGGUUUAUUGAAACUUUAGUAACUGCUCAUCGAUAAGAAGGUUAUGAGAUCUCUCCAAUUUUUUCGGUUUUUUCCUUCCUGUUCAUGUCUGAUUUGGAGGACGAAGCUGUUGCCAUGGCGCCGAAGGCUAUUUGGUAUUAUUAUUAUUAUUAUUACUAUUAUUACUAACAUAACAAAUCUAAAGUUACUAUCGAUUGAUUGUGGUUCAUAAAUUCUGAUAUAGAAUUUGCAUCUGCAGUUUCUUGUGAGUUUUCUUAUUCUUAUUGAUUCAAUUAAAGUAAUAUGUUCACAUGUCUA